rnacentral:rRNA from 1 species
AUUGAACGCUGGCGGCAUGCCUUACACAUGCAAGUCGAACGGCAGCACGGGAGCAAUCCUGGUGGCGAGUGGCGAACGGGUGAGUAAUAUAUCGGAACGUGCCCAGUCGUGGGAAUAACGUAGCGAAAGCUACGCUAAUACCGCAUACGAUCUAUGGAUGAAAGCGGGGGAUCGCAAGACCUCGCGCGAUUGGAGCGGCCGAUAUCAGAUUAGGUAGUUGGUGAGGUAAAGGCUCACCCAAGCCGACGAUCUGUAGCUGGUCUGAGAGGACGACCAGCCACACUGGGACUGAGACACGGCCCAGACUCCUACGGGAGGCAGCAGUGGGGGAAUUUUUGGACAAUGGGCGCAAGCCUGAUCCAGCAAUGCCGCGUGCAGGAUGAAGGCCUCGGUUGUAACUGCUUUGUACGGUACGAAACGGU